rnacentral:rRNA from 1 species
UACGUAGGGUGCAAGCGUUGUCCGGAAUUAUUGGGCGUAAAGAGCUCGUAGGCGGUUUGUCGCGUCUGCUGUGAAAUCCCGAGGCUCAACCUCGGGCCUGCAGUGGGUACGGGCAGACUAGAGUGCGGUAGGGGAGACUGGAAUUCCUGGUGUAGCGGUGAAAUGCGCAGAUAUCAGGAAGAACACCCGUGGCGGAAGGCGGCUCUCUGGGACGG